CUAAAAAUUGCGUUUAUGGUAACAGACUGGUUCGGUUGAAGUCAUCAAGGUUUUGCCAAGAUUCUUCCAUGUCUCCUGUAAAACGUUAAAUUUUAACUCACAAGUCUGUAGUUCACUCCCCAUCCACAUUAUCCACAACCUACCUACAUUACACUGCUGUCACACCCUACAUAAUUUAAUUAAAAUUACAGUUAUGCGAUCUAACCUACCAUCAUUUUCUUGUAUUUAUUUAGUUCGACAACAUCCAACCUCGAAUUUUGACAAGCGUGUCCUGGUAGCAGUUAAAAAAUAUGACAACAUUGCCGCAGUGCCCGACAUUAUUCCGGCUACUGUCAUGAUAAGUGCCAGGGACAGGUUCCGUGUCAAGAUGAUGUGGUACAUCAUAGCUGCCACUCUUGUAGCUUCGUUGGGGAUGGUGAUCAGUGGUAAGAGAGCAGCCGGACGCGGGGAGUCUGUAGAGAAGGGCAACCUUGAUUGGCACAAAAAACAUAAUGAAAAGUGAAGCAUCAAAAUGCAACUAUCCCAUGAAUGUGUGAUGUGACUAGAAUCCCACGUGCUUUAUAAUGUAGAAACAGGUCGGCAAGUUGAUUGAGAGACACACUGGUAUAGCAAGAUAUAAUAUGAGCGAGUUAGAGAUGGAAAAUGUCAGCGAGACAAGCAAUGGAGGUACAAAGUAACAAAAGAGGCCAACGCGCACAAUUGUUUUGUAGGACCACGUUGACACAUGUGCGAAGAAUCUGUCAUCUGCUAUAUGUAGAGUUUGUAUACUGUAUAAAAUAAUAUUAAAUUCACACUCACAAACCUGCCAGUUUCUAAAUGGAAAUAAUUUGGAUGUAGCUAAAUAUGAUCGGCUUUACAAAUUUGUCAACUUUUUUGAUUUUACAAUUUUUCUCAAGUGUACCAAUGCUCAACAAGCAAUGGAGAAAUGUAUAAAUAUCUUCAAACGUUUAUUUAUGUGCUCAGUAUAUGGCCAUUGUUGUCUGUGUAUACUUCCUUCAUAAAUAUUUGUUGGUUACAAUCUGAGUUCUAAAGAGACUAUCUUGUUGUGUAUGAGAACAUCAGCUAUAGGCUGCAGGGGCAUGACGUUAAUUACAUUUGUGGUGAUUGUUGUUUUAUUAA